GGGGACGACAGGCUUCGACGUGGUCGAUUCGUGGGGGUGGUCGCGAGUCGAGGUCCCGGGAGGCCUCGUAAAACACCCGGGAAACAAUAAGUGCGAAGUCACACGCUGACCUCCACAACUUCAGCCUCGCUGUCUAACAACAGCUAGCGCUGGACCGCCCACCGCUCGCCUGCGGUGGUGGGUCGGGUCAAACAGCAGGCUCACCCGGUGAGGCCCGCUCCAGCCCCGCCGGGGACAACUUCGGAGCUGGCCCUCGACAACCCCGCCGGCGAGGCGAGUCGAGGGUGAGAUCAGAGCGCCGGCUACGCUCGUAGACGCCACCUUUUGCGCGGCUGCGGACGCGGGUUCAAUUCCCGCCGUCUCCACCU
rnacentral:tmRNA from 1 species